rnacentral:rRNA from 1 species
AUACGUAGGGGGCGAGCGUUGUCCGGAAUGAUUGGGCGUAAAGGGCGCGUAGGCGGCCCGGUAAGUCUGGAGUGAAAGUCCUGUUUUUAAGAUGGGAAUUGCUUUGGAUACUGUCGGGCUUGAGUGCAGGAGAGGUAAGUGGAAUUCCCAGUGUAGCGGUGAAAUGCGUAGAGAUUGGGAGGAACACCAGUGGCGAAGGCGACUUACUGGACUGUAACUGACGCUGAGGCGCGAAAGUGUGGGGAGCAAACAGGAUUAGAUACCCUGGUAGUCCACACUGUAAACGAUGAAUGCUAGGUGUAGGGGGUAUCGACCCCUUCUGUGCCGCAGUCAACACAAUAAGCAUUCCGCCUGGGGAGGACGGCCGCAAGGUUGAAACUCAAAUGAAUUGACGGGG